UACGUAGGGGGCAAGCGUUGUCCGGAUUCAUUGGGCGUAAAGAGCGUGUAGGCGGCCAGGUAGGUCGGUUGUGAAAACUGGAGGCUCAACCUUCAGAGGUCGACCGAAACCAUCUGACUAGAGUCCGGGAGAGGAGAGUGGAAUUCCUGGUGUAGCGGUGAAAUGCGUAGAGAUGUGGAGGAACACCGAUGGCGAAGGCAGCCUCCUGGGCCAACACUGACGCUCAUGCACGAAAGCGUGGGGAGCAAACAGG
rnacentral:rRNA from 1 species